CCCAUGUGAACUUAUCCUUCUGUUGCCUCGGCUGGUCGUGUCUACCCUGUGGUCUCCUACCCUGUAGGAGACUACCUGGUGGUCACGGGUCUACCUGUCAGUGGCCCGUUAAACUCUGUUUAUUAUAUGCCAUUCUGAAUUAUCAACUAAAUAAGUUUAAAACUUUCAACAACGGAUCUCUUGGUUCUGGCAUCUAUGAAAAACGCAGCGAAAUGCGAUAAGUAAUGUGAAUUGCAGAAUUCAGUGAAUCAUCGAAUCUUUGAACGCACAUUGCGCCCAUUAGUAUUCUAGUGGGCAUGCCUGUUCGAGCGUCAUUUCAACCCUUAAGCCUUUGUUGCUUAUUGUUGGGAGCCUACGGCCUUCUGUAGCUCCUUAAAGUUAGUGGCAGAGUUGGUUUACACUCUAGACGUAGUAAAUUCUAUCUCGUCUGUAGUUAGGCCGGUCUCUUGCCGUAAAACCCCCCUAAAUUCGGCGAGUGAAGCGGCAACAGCUCAAAUUUGAAAUCUGGCCCUCGGGUCCGAGUUGUAAUUUGUAGAGGAUGCUUUUGGCGCGGUGCCUUCCGAGUUCCCUGGAACGGGACGCCUUAGAGGGUGAGAGCCCCGUACGGUUGGACACCAAGCCUCUGUAAAGCCCCUUCGACGAGUCGAGUAGUUUGGGAAUGCUGCUCUAAAUGGGAGGUAAAUUUCUUCUAAAGCUAAAUAUUGGCCAGAGACCGAUAGCGCACAAGUAGAGUGAUCGAAAGAUGAAAAGCACUUUGAAAAGAGGGUUAAAUAGCACGUGAAAUUGUUGAAAGGGAAGCGUUUGCGACCAGACCUUUUCUUAGCGGAUCAUCCGGUGUUAUCACCGGUGCACUUCGCCAAGUUGAGGCCAGCAUCGGUUUUCGUAGGGGGAUAAAAGCCUGGGGAAUGUGGCUCUUUCGGGAGUGUUAUAGCCUCUCGCAUAAUACCCUUAUGGGGACCGAGGACCGCGCUUUAUGCAAGGAUGCUGGCGUAAUGGUCGUCAACGACCCGUCUUGAAACACGGACCAAGGAGUCGAACAUUUGUGCGAGUGUUUGGGUGUUAAACCCUCACGCGUAAUGAAAGUGAACGGAGGUGAGAGCCCUUACGGGGGUGCAUCAUCGACCGAUCCUGAUGUCUUCGGAUGGAUUUGAGUAAGAGCAUA
rnacentral:sRNA from 1 species